rnacentral:lncRNA from 1 species
CAGUGACUUGGCAGCCGGCUCUGUCUCUGAUAAAAGGGCCCAGGCAGCUCUAAAAUCCCAGGGUCCUUCUGUCAGCCCCCAGCGUCAGCACCCAUGACCUCAUCUAAGCCCUCGGGCCGGUUUCCUUCCCAGCUGGCAGCCUUGCCUGGAGCCCAGAUGGCCCAAGGCCUCUCCCAGUAAGGUCCCUCCCAAAACUGUGCUCAGUGUCAGCAUCAGUCAGGAUGCAGCGCGGACAGGAAUGGGAACUUCCGGAAGCAUCACUGUCCAUGUGUCAGUGUCUCAGAAGUGCUGAGGAAAUGAAAGUCUCACACAGAGGCCUCCCGUCAUGACAGCUCGCCUGGUCCUCUCCCCCACUGGACUGUAACCCGAGGCAGCUGAGCCCACCGCUGAGCGUGCACACAGCGUCGACCCCCGGGACGCCUGGAUGCUCUUCGUCAGGCAGAGUGACAAGGGUGUCAAUGGCAAGAAGAGGAGCAGGGGCAAGGCCAAGAAGCUGAAGGUGAGGCCGGCAUCCCGUCAGUGCCAGGCCGUGGGGGGCUCCGCCUCCUCGCUCCUCAUCCACUCCCACUCCUACAUCCUGAACAUUUCCAAUAGCACACCCCUCACGCCUCGGCCUGGGGACAGAGAACAGAGAGAAAGAACCCAGGCAGCCCCAGGGGGAGCCCCGAGUUAGGGGCCUGGUCCCAACCAUUUCCCCACACCCCUAAAAUGCCAGGCUCUCCCUCUUUUCUCCUCCCUCUGCAUCCAGGCCAGGGAGGCUGGGCUAGCCCAGGCUGUGGUGAGAACCUUGUCCACGCUGGAGGGGCCUGCAGGAGUGCCUGGCUCCCAGGGACUAGGGGCACGGGGUCCUGGUGGCUGCUGCGCUCUCACCCUCACUCAGCCUUAGGUCUUGGCCUGGGCAGAAACUUGGUGCUUGGUCCUGGUGCUGCCUCCUGCUUGGAGCCCCCAAAAUGGAAAAUACGGGGUGUGGGCUUCUCUGUCCCUUGGGGGCCAGUAUCACCUGCCUGGGAUCUGAACACACGAUGGAAGGCCAGCUCGGAGCGCAUGAGGCAGGUGCACAGGCCGCGCUGUCCUCGUGGCCUGGCCUUCUACCUCUGCCCAGCCUCCUGGCCCUGCCCUAAGCUUCUCCCCACAGGGGGCUCACUGGCUUCUGGUUCGGGUCCCAACCCAGCCUAGUGGGGACCUGCUGAUGGUGGACUGGGGCCCAGUGCAGACCCUGAGAUGCAAGUCCCCAAAAGCAGCCUAGAGUCUUCUUCCCUCCACGAGGCCUGGCCGCAGGAGCGGGCUUCAGCCCUCUGCCUCCCCACUCAGAGCAGAGUCCUUCCCUGCCAAAGCCCCGCCCCGAGGGCCCCCACCUCCAG